CUCUGUUUGGACGAUGUGACUUGGUGAGCUGCAAUUUGGCUUGGAUUACAGUAUUUCAGAAGACUUUUUGAACUUAUCAGGCAACCCUCUCCCUAAACUUUGGGGACAGAGGAGCUUAAAUUUAUUUCCAGUGUCACACAAGGAGAAAGGAGUUGGCUGCUUCGCCCAAGUAAUGAAAAUCAAUUCUGUGUUGCUCUUGGAAGAAAGGAAAAAAGCCUGGCAUAUAGAUCUCGGUUUAGAGACAGAGUUUGCCUGGGAAGGGUGUGCCUGGGGAAAGACACAGGAAGAAGGAGAAGAGAUGAUGCUACAAGACAUCUUCCUGACUUCCAGAGUGAGACUGAAGUUUGUAACAAGGCCAGCUGACAGAAGCAUUGUGCCCAGCCUGGGAUCCCCUUGCCCACAAAGCCUCACACUGGGCUGCAAGAACAGCAAAUGGGCUCCUCUGUUCUGGCAGGAGCCUGCAUGGCAGCCUGUGUGAAACACUUCUGAGAAUCAGCACAGGAUUUAUCUGGAAAGUAUGACCAACAGGAGCAGCUUACUCACCAUUAGAUAAGUAUUGCAGAUGACUCAUGCUAGAGUAUUGAUAGCUGUGCUGCUGAGAUGGAUAUCCUGUUUUAUAGCAGCUGUAGUGUGAUGCCAAGAGCCAGGAACCUUAAUUUAGCUAUCCAUGCUUUUCUGUGAAAAUGAUUUGGGUCUCUGGCACCUUUUCUCAUUGGCUUGUCCAUCUAAAGGGUUCACAGGGGAGGUUUUGCCUUCCUGAGUGAGGUACAGUAUAUGGGGCAUCUCACCUUGAAAUGAAAACUAGUGUUGAAAAGCUACAGCUUUAUAGCUGUUCUUCAGGACAUGCAAUAUUUGUCUUUUUAACAGAUGUUAUUAGUGACUUUCCUCGAUUCUUUGGGUUUUUUUGUUUUAUUUGUGUUUUUUUCAGAGCCAUUAUACCCCUUCUUCAGCAAAGCAAACCAGAAGGUGCAGAAACAGAUUUUCUAACUAUGGAAGCUCUCCUGAGGAGCUGCAUUAUGCUCUGCUGCCCCUGGGAUGGGAUGCAGAGCAAGGAGUGAAGAAGAGCUGCCAUGUGCCAAUGCAAGUUGCUUUUGUGAGGAGAGGGGCUUUCUGGCAUGUCAUAUGGUGCUGAAAGACAUUUUUACUCUUGGCAACAAAAAUCCUUAUCCUUUUUUUUUUUUUUUUUUUCCUAUCCAGGACAGAUGCUAUUUCCUGUUAGAGAUGAUUUAUAUGCAAAUCAAGGUGAUACAACAAGAAAAAAAGUCCUGAAAGCAAUCACACUUGAUAAACUCAGCCCACUGGGGAAUUCCUGCUUAGCAUUUAUCUUUUCUUUUUUUCAGUUCUGUACAAGAUUCUUCUUUGCCUGUGCUUUCUUACGGUCUUUAAUGUUUGUCCUGCAGACCUCUUGCUUAUGAACUACAGUGCUUGCAUUUUGCAGAGCUCAUGUCAGUAUUCAUAAACAAAAGGCAACAAAUGCUGGAAAUUUGGGUUAACAGUCCCUGUGUUUCAUCUUCAUCAUGCAUUGAGUUGGUGCUUUCUGAAGUUUAAGCCAGACGUGAGCCUCACACUGCAGACUGCCAUGUGCCUGUAGUGAUGAUCUACCUGGAAAGGUGAUCCCAGAAACCUCAGGCAUGAAAAAAGAGAGAUAAAAAGCAAAAAGAAGCCAGCAAAAAGUUGACCUAGUAACUUAAACAGGAGCAGGAUUUGACCUGAGGCACCUCAAGAUACAGUGUGGGCAGCACUUCACUAAUGCAGUAACACGAGUUGAUCACCUCAUUGCUCCAGCAAAGCAAACUCACACAGAAUCACAGCCUGGUUUGGGUGAGAAGUGAUCAAACGUCACCUAGUUGAACUCCCUUGCCAUGGGCAGGGACACCUCCUAUCAGGCCAGGUUGUGCAGGGCCCCUCCCAACCUGGCCUUGAACAUUUCCAGGGGUUGGGCAUCCACAGCUUCCCUGGGCAUCUGCUCAGCCUGUGCCCUGUAGGUGUCCCUGUAAAUGGAUGGGGCUGAUCAAAGCCUUGCUCUCACCAGGCUGCCACCCUGCUGAUGGUACAACAGGCUGCAAGGGUGAAAAAAAGACUCAGCAACAGAAAAGGACGUGUCAGAGAGCUGCAGAAUGGCACUGCCAAAUAACAUUCUCGUGUGUGUCCAGAGAUAGCUGCUGCAGCCCAGGCCUUGUUGAAUCAUGCUGUGGUUGUUCUGGCCUUUGUGUGGGUAACAGUGAUAAUCACUGUGUGUGGUGUUGGGUUUUAUUAUUUGCUUUUUUCCCUUAAGUGUAAAAUUAACAGUCAAAUUGGCAUUGGUGAGGCAGCAAGCCUGGUGCAGCUUUUAUCUAUCCUGAGCCUCGGAACAAAGGAGGGCAGGAAAAUGGCUUGAGCAGUUUGGCGGCCGUGCACGUAACGGUCCCGGAGUUCAAAGCAAAAGGCAAACAGUCAGAUACCCAAACCCGCCUGGGCUUUGCCUGAUAAGUCACAUUUCAAAGUAAAAGGCAAUCCUGUAAGGGCUCUGCUGAGUGCCUAAAGCCUCCCUCCAGUGCUGAGUCGUCUUUAAAAGGGGAUUUCAUAAGGAAUAAUAUGAACAGAAAUGGCUCUUUUGUGGUUUUACACAUUCCAGGCAUGCCAGGACUGUUCCUGUCAAGGAUGGGCAGUCUCUGGGGUUUUGGGUUCUUUUUUUUUUUUCCCAAAUAUUUGCCACAAACUAGCAGCUGAAAUGGUGAAAAAUAAAUGAGAGUUGCAAAAUCAUUACAGUAGCAGUAAUGGAAACUGUGAGGCUUAUACUUAAACUGGCUGUGGGGUUUCACUCCAUCUUCUGCACUGUUGCACUGUCAGGAUUGCUACUUUUACCUGCUAUGACCACUUCAGGAUGGAUGAUUUGAAAGCAGGUCUUUAACUGAUGGUUACCCAGGGCCUCAAAAAACAGUGCUUUUGGUUUUUUCAGAAGCAAUAUCUCAGCUGAGCCACUGUUAAGUCUGAAUUCCUUCAGUGUCAGUGCAGUUAUGUGGCCAUACAGCAUCUUUACCUGAUGAUUUCUGCAGGUCUUUGGGUACAGAAAUGGGGCCCAGCUGCUCCUGCUUCAGGUGCACUUUUGUUUCACACAGGUUGUGCCAGUUGGAUUGCACCUGUACCCGUUAACACAGAGUUUUAAUUGAUGUAAGAGUUCCAAUGCACAAAGUUGUGGUGCCUGAAAUCUGAAAGAAGAGCACCUUCACUCUGCCUUAGAACAGUCUGAAAUUUCAUAUGCAGUAAAACACCAGAUGUUUUGUGUAGAGCUGCCCUGUUACAUGAGUGUCUAACUCAUUGCCUACAUGUCCUGUUCUUCUCCACAUGGAUGCUGCUCCUGUUGCCACAGUCCUGUGUCUGGUGUACUAGCAGGACCCCAUGGACAGCUGGGAAAGCCAUGGCCAGAGGUGUUACUGCUGUCAGCUCACAAAAAGUAUGGCUGUAAAAAUGUGCAAUUAAGUGUGGGCUCAGCUCCCCUGAGGCACCCUGCACAAACAUUCAGUACCUUUAUUAGCAGCACACACUGACCACAGCCAGCACCCUGAUGAGCUGGGGCUGCACCUUCAGCUGUUCUCAGGUGAGACUAAUCCCUCUGUGGGGGGAGCAGAAAAUGGAGCCAGGCUCAUCCCAGCAGAGUCUGAACCAUAGAUAUCCAUCCUGACAAUUUGUUUUCAGCCCAGGUUUGGCCUGAGCACAAAUGCAGACAGAGGGUGAGGGAGCAUCUCUUUGAAAGUGGCAGCAAAAGAGGCACUGUUGGAAUGAACUCUCCUGGUUUUAUUAAAUGUGUAUAUGGUUACUUAGUGGUGAACAGGAACUGGAGUGGAUUUAGGAGAUGGUUUCUGAGGCCCCCUCCCAUCCUCCAACACAGGCUGAUAUUACAGGGAAGUCUCAAUGCUGUUGUGGGGCUGUGGGUGGAGGAACUUAAUCACCAGGGUUGUCAUCAAAUGCUGCACUUACAAGAUACAAGGAAGAAGUAUUAAUUCUGUGCUCAACAAAAAUAUUUUUCAUCUUAAAGAAGUCUGGUCUUGUAGCCUUCUGGAGUGCUGCCAUUUUAAUUUUUUUUUCCUUAAAAAAGGGGGAAAAUUCUUUUCUUUCACCAUUGGUGCUACCAACCACAGAAAUUUGGAAACAAAAAGUCAGAAAGGGUGUUCAGCAGUGAGCUGUCUUUUUAUUAGGCUGAUCUUCCAGGAGUUGGUUUUGAAGUAGAUUUUGUUCUGUCCUCUCAAGGUCUCUGCUGUGGAAAUACUUAUUGCUGUGAAACUGUAGCAAGCUUUAUGAGUGGCAGGAAAAACUACUUUAGUAACCAAACAAAUGUGCUUUCCUUACAAGUCACACAGGUGUACAUUUAGAAUUUUUUUUUUGUUUUGUUUUGUACCAAAAUAAUUUUUCAACUGGUUUAUCUGGAGUGGGAAAAUGAGUGGACCUUGACUUGCAUUUUAAUAUAGAUUUCAUCCAUUUAAUCACAACAGAAGGGUACCUAGAGAUUCUCUGUUUUCCUUCUUUUUCUGUGUAUUUGCUUAGUGUUUUGUUCUUCAGAAUCUCUGUUUUCCCUCUUUUUGAUGGUUUGAGAUUUUUGACAGAGAGGGCAAAAAUGCUUAAAAGUUCUAAUGUCCUUGGGAAGGCUACAAAAGUUAUGCAGAGGUGAAGAGAUGCAGGCAACCCAUAGAAGAGCCAAUUUUUGACAGCAUGGGAAGUGGUUAGCACCUCAUUGGACAUCCUCACAUCAAAGCUGGACAGUGGGCAGCUUGAGAUACUCUGCUUGAACCACAAAUUGCUGGGCUUUGGGCAGAAAUCACUAUGAAAUUCUGUGGUCUUUAUUAGGCAGGCGGACAGACAAAAUAAUUCUGCUGGUUUCUCUCAACUCUUAGAAUUUAUGAAUCACAUAGUCAGGGUGUUCUUGGGGGGGGUUGAGUUUCCAUGAAAAGUUUGCCUUGGUAGCAUGCAGACAACAAAACCCAUCUGUUCUCUUGUCUUUUCAUCAUGCUGUGUUGCUUUUGAAUUGUUCCAGAGGGAGGAUGAAAUUGGGCUUGUUAUUUAAAUUUCAGUAUGGGUGGCCAAAGCAACUCUACCUUGGUUAUUACGGGCCUCCUGUGACCACAGGAAUGGAUGGUGCUUUAUGCCAGCCCUGAUUUACCAAACCUGAGGACCGACUCAUCACUGCAGCGUUGCCCGUGGGAAUUGUGUGCCAUGGAUCCUGCAGCAAGGCAGUGUCUGGGAAUAUCUCCUACACUCUGUAGUAGUAAGGAUGUGAUCAGCCCUUGCAGGCUGGUGUCUGUGGAAAAAGAACCAACUCCACACUCAUUUAUGGCAGUUGAAGAGUUGGGAGCAAAGCAUUCAGGUUCUGUCUGAAGUGUGUGUGUGAGCCCAUCUGGGGAGUAGUGUCAGGGAGAGAGUCCAUGGGAUCCUCCAGCUCGUGGUGGAGCUGAGACAGAAAGGAACCCUGCAACUCUGGGGAGCAAGUAGGAGCAGGGAUGUGGUCAGGACUUUGUCCUUUUAAAGGGGGACUGCCUGGUGUCUGUACUUGAAAAAAGGAGGGGAAGUGCCAGGAAGAAUUCAUGGAAAGCCACAGAUAACUUGGGUUUGUUUUGACUCCAGGUUUGAAGAGUGCAAUGUAUUUGGUUAGUUGGGAUGAAGACUGGCAAGGGGGUGACUUGAUUGCCACAUCUAGAGGAAGAAAGUUUUGGUCAGCAGGUUUGGGCUAAGGAGGAACCCUUAAAAUUUCUGUGUCCUUUUCCAGAUUUUAGAGGAAAUGUCUCUCUAGCAUUGCAGGUUUAAUCUAAAAUACUGGUUUUACUAUGUACAGGUCUUGGGUGAAAGGGGUUGAUAUGCAGUGUAGUGAAGACAGGAUGAAUUAUUUGGGUCUUUCUGCCUUUAUGCUCAGAACUCUGGUACUCCCAGCACCUUCUUCCCUCAAAGAAGGAAAGCAGCUUCUACCCCUCCCUGGGGUAGGGAAGUUCUGCCACAACACUGGGCAUAGUGUAAACUGUCAGGACAAAACACUUGCCAUCUCAUCUUAAGACAGGUGUCUAAGGUAUCUGGCUUUCCCUAUGGUAAUGGCUGUUGUCUCCAGCACCUAUGUGGGAGACCAGAAAUCUGGCAGAGAUGUGGACUCCUGUGCUUUGGAUGUCUGGAGCUGCACGAGGUGAACACCUCUCUCACUCCUGUGUGCUUGAUGAGGAGUUAGUGGAACACAGAACCUAACAAAGAACUGACAUCACCUGAGAUGAAAAUAAUAUGCAAACUUUAAUGAGCUCUCUGCAGCUGAGCAGCCUCUGGAGGUCCUGUACCAAACCUGACCCACUUGCUGAACCCCAGCAGUGCAGCACUGAGCACUCCUCUGCCUGCCUGCAGAACAAUGAAAGGACAGCAGUAUGGAAAGCGACAAGUACAGGGGCAGCAAUCAGUGGUAGAUGUUGCUGAGAAGAUGAUUCCCAUGUGCUCCUCAGAAGGGCUGCUGAGCUGCUAGACAAGCACCAAGAUUUCCCUUCCUGUGUGCAUGUGUCCUGCUGGCUGCAGCCCUUGCUGGACCCUGGAGGAUGUGAGGCUCUGGCACUCCCUGGGCAGUGAUGCUCCAGGGCCUUUGAAUGGCUGUCCAGAAUAGGGAGGGAAAACUACCUCCUCCCAGACACAAAUCACAUUGAUUUGCUGGUGUUUUUUAUUACUUUUUCUUUUGGCUGUCUGAAUAACUGAAGUGCAAACCUCUUUCACCUAUUUGACAUUAAUUCACUAAUGGAUGGCAGAAGGUUUCAUGUUUGGUUUUUAACUGAAAGAGUGAUGAUGCAAUUAUAAACCUCACAUCCAUUAUGUAUCUUGGAACCAUGUGAAAAGUGUGAGUUUUUACAGAAAACAUGAGAGUGGUGGGAGUUGUGGAAUAAACUUUUUAAU